UUAAACAAGUCUGCUCGAGGGAAGUUGGUGUUGUCAAUGCUGAGGCCAGGCAGCUCAUCAUAAUUAAAAGUGGGGAUGUGUUUUACCCAAGGCCUCACUAUUGAUGGGAUUUGGCCUCCAACAUGUGCACAGGUGACUGCCUGACAGCCCUAGGACAUGGAGAUUUUCUCAGACGUUUGGCACAGAAAGUCACUGACCAUCUUUGGAGGAAGCAUCAUUUUUGGGAAACACUUCUCCAUUGGAUCCUGAGCCUCAGGUGGAAAACCAGGCAACAACUGGAAAGAACCCAAGUGUCCGUCAGCUAGAGAAUGGAUAGACCCUUGUGGGCUAUGGAUACAGUGGAGCGCUGCUCAGUUAUACA
rnacentral:lncRNA from 10 species